UUUCAGAUGGUGUAUAAGCACGGAAAAUUUUGAUUUUUCAAGAAAUAAAAUAUUGCUGAAAU
rnacentral:tRNA from 1 species